CAGCAGUGAGGAAUAUUGGGCAAUGGAGGCAACUCUGACCCAGCUAUGCCGCGUGCAGGAAGACGGCCCUCUGGGUUGUAAACUGCUUUUGUUUGGGAAUAAACCCUCCUACGUGUAGGAGGCUGAAGGUACCUUACGAAUAAGCAUCGGCUAACUCCGUGCCAGCAGCCGCGGUAAUACGGAGGAUGCAAGCGUUAUCCGGAUUUAUUGGGUUUAAAGGGUCCGUAGGCGGAUCUUUAAGUCAGUGGUGAAAGCCCACAGCUCAACUGUGGAACUGCCAUUGAUACUGGAGAUCUUGAGUGUAGUAGAAGUAGGCGGAAUAGGGCAUGUAGCGGUGAAAUGCAUAGAUAUGCCCUAGAACACCGAUUGCGAAGGCAGCUUACUAUGUUACAACUGACGCUGAGGGACGAAAGCGUGGGGAGCAAACAGGAUUAGA
rnacentral:rRNA from 1 species